rnacentral:rRNA from 1 species
AAUGGGCGCAAGCCUGAUCCAGCCAUGCCGCGUGUGUGAAGAAGGCCUUCGGGUUGUAAAGCACUUUNAGCNGGGAGGAAGGGNNGUAGGUUAAUACNUNGCNGUAUUGACGUUACCCNCAGAAUAAGCACCGGCUAACUCCGUGCCAGCAGCCGCGGUAAUACGGAGGGUGCAAGCGUUAAUCGGAAUUACUGGGCGUAAAGCGCGCGNAGGCGGUUUGUUAAGUCAGAUGUGAAAUCCCCGGGCUCAACCUGGGAACUGCAUUUGAAACUGGCAAAGCUAGAGUCUGGUAGAGGGGGGUNGAAUUCCAGGUGUAGCGGUGAAAUGCGUAGAGAUCUGGAGGAACACCGGUGGCGAAGGCGGCCCCCUGGACNNAGACUGACGCUCAGGUGCGAAAGCGUGGGGAGCAAACAGGAUUA